AGUUUUUUGUGGUGUUUUUUUUUUAAUUUUUGACCAAAAACACCUCAAACAACAAUGGCGUCUGUUCCUAGGCUUAGGCUGGGAUUAAACACGAUUUAUAGGCCUUUCAGAGGUUUUGAGAAAUCUCCCCGAGUGUCUAGUUAGGAGAAUCAAAUAUAAUGCACCCACAGCCAAUCAGAGAGCAGCACUGCCCAAAUUGAACUCCCACGAGGUAACAGUGUGUCAUAACCAUUGUCCACCAGAGAGCAGCACUGAGCAGAAAUAACACGGCUCCUGCUCAUUCUUCAUCAGUGAGGGGCCCAUGCUGGACACUGUAGGGACCCGGGAAUGCAGAUUCAUACACAUGACUGAUGCAGUAUUUCCAGGAUGUGGAGUCGCAUUUCCGGAUAGCAAGAAGUUAGAUGAAGGCACAGCCCCAGGAAUCACGCACAUACAUGAACACAUUUCCCCAAAUUCUAGAGGUAACCUCCUUUAGUAUGCCCAGAGGAAGGGCAGUACAGUAGCCAUGGAUUCCCUACAGGUUUCCUCCCCUCUGGAGGUUUUUCCUGUCCUCCGUGUUACUGUACGCUCUUUGUGAGUGAUGGAAGGUUACAAAAAAAUCCCUACACAAACAUUUUAAUAAAUAAUAAAUAAAGU